UUCUUUUAUGUGAGGGAUGUAUUAUAAUGUUUUUGCUUGCCUUUUUCAGUAGCAUGUCCUAUGGCAUUCAAAAACACACUCUUUUUGACAUAUGGAACUUCUCCGUGUGCUUAUUUGACAGUAAGCUUUGCGUAGCUUACUGCAUUAAAGUUUAUGGCUAUAAACAGUCUAUGUUGAACGUUGCACUCCAUCUUGUUUAACAGAAUUUUAUGAAGUGUAUUGUAAGAGUAACCUUGGCUAAUUUAGUUCCUACUCUUUUUAGCUAAGCACCUAUGACUAAAGGUAUGUAUUAGAUAGCUCAUAUUACUAUUUAAACAAUACAAGUUGGACCUCUCAGGUCCUCUGUAUUAGAUAGCUCAUAUUGCUAUAUUUAAACAAUACAGAUCCUCUUUAUUUUUUACAAGAAUUACAAUGCUAAAGGGUUGCUCUCUUUAGGUGGAUACAUCAUAUAGUUGUCAAUUGGUGAUUCAUAACAUUUAGCUUGACCUCUCUUUCACAAAAGUCAGAAGUGCCAAAAAUUAGUAUUGGGAACCUUAUUACUUUGUAUCAGUAGGAUUUGGGAAUGGUGAAAUUAGAUGAUGAGAUGAGAUUGAAGGAGAAAUUGGAGAGCAAGGACAAUCCAUUGGGAGUUAAUGCAUUGAAGUGGUGCUAAAGGACUCAGCUUUGUCAUAUUGCUAACAAGAAGAUAAGCAGUGCUUAUGGUCAUAUUGGGUUUGGAGAGAGGAGUUGCAAAUGAUGAAAGAGCUGUAAUUGACAAAGUUGCAAGAAGGGAAUGCUC